CCUACGGGGGGCAGCAGUGAGGAAUAUUGGUCAAUGGACGAGAGUCUGAACCAGCCAAGUAGCGUGAAGGAUGACUGCCCUAUGGGUUGUAAACUUCUUUUAUAAAGGAAUAAAACGAGGCACGUGUGCCUUUUUGCAUGUACUUUAUGAAUAAGGAUCGGCUAACUCCGUUCCAGCAGCCGCGGUAAUACGGAGGAUCCGAGCGUUAUCCGGAUUUAUUGGGUUUAAAGGGAGCGUAGAUGGGUUGUUAAGUCAGUUGCGAAAGUUUGCGGCUCAACCGUAAAAUUGCAAUUGAUACUGGCAGUCUUGAGUACAGUUGAGGUAGGCGGAAUUCGUGGUGUAGCAGUGAAAUGCUUAGAUAUCACGAAGAACUCCGAUUGCGAAGGCAGCUUACUAAACUGCCACUGACAUUGAUGCUCGAAAGUGUGGGUAUCAAACAGGAUUAGAUACCCCAGUAGUC
rnacentral:rRNA from 1 species